GAUGAACGCUGGCGGCGUGCCUAAUACAUGCAAGUCGAGCGAACGGACGAGAAGCUUGCUUCUCUGAUGUUAGCGGCGGACGGGUGAGUAACACGUGGAUAACCUACCUAUAAGACUGGGAUAACUUCGGGAAACCGGAGCUAAUACCGGAUAAUAUUUUGAACCGCAUGGUUCAAAAGUGAAAGACGGUCUUGCUGUCACUUAUAGAUGGAUCCGCGCUGCAUUAGCUAGUUGGUAAGGUAACGGCUUACCAAGGCAACGAUGCAUAGCCGACCUGAGAGGGGGAUCGGCCACACUGGAACGGAGACCCGGUCCAGGCUCCUACGGGAGGCAGCAGGAGGGAAUCUUCCGCAAGGGGGGAAACCCUGACGGAGCAACGCCGCGGGAGGGAUAAAGGUCUUAGGAUCGUAAAACUUUUUUUUUAGGGAAAAACAUAUGUGUAAGUAACUGUGCCCAUCUGGACGGACCCUAAUCAGAAAGCCAGGGCUAAUUACGG
rnacentral:rRNA from 1 species